CUUUGUAUUCUUCCACAGCUUUCUUGAACUGCAUCCAUGAGAUCGAUCGAUCUUUGCAUGUGAGGCUGCAGUCACUCACUCACUCACUCUCUCUCUCUCUCUAACUGGCUUGCGGUUCAAUAAAGCUGUGGGAAGAUACAGAUA
rnacentral:pre_miRNA from 2 species